UUCCUUUACAAGAGCAGACGUCCUCCUCACAGGAUUAGAGAAUCUGGAUCAAGAGUUUGUUCAGCAGAGAACAUACACAUAUCAGAAGCACUAGGUUCACUGAGGAAAAGCCUUUUCUAAAAGCCCUGUGCUGACACAGGGGUGCUGGUUCCUCUCUAAGAGUCUAGCAUCUGGGGUGGAGGCAUUCUCUAACUGCAGUGAGCUGGAAAGACGCUCCCAAUCAAGCUCAUCCAUGGCCUCUCGAUGCAUCUGGAUGCUUGUGAUUUCCUUCACAUUGCGUGGACUGAGAGCUCAGUCUGUGAAUCAGCCAGAAGAUCAGGUGAAUGUUGCAGAAGGGGAUCCUCUAACUUUGAGAUGUACUUAUUCAGUUUCUUGGAAUCCUUCUCUCUUUUGGUAUGUCCAAUAUCCCAACCAAGGCCUCCAGUUUCUUCUAAAAUAUGUCACAGGGGACAGCCUGGUGAAAGGCAGCUACGGUUUUGAGGCUGAAUUUAAUAAGAGCCAAACUUCUUUCCACCUGAAGAAACCAUCUGCCCUUUGGAGUGACUCUGCUCUGUACUUCUGUGCUGUGAGUGACACAGUAAUGGAGGCUGCAGGGGAAGCUGAACACAAACCCUGAGGGUAGUCAAACCUCCACAAGAGGGUGGUGUGGUCUCAGGAUAUGUCAUUCAAUAUAAUAAAAUUGAUAA